UUUUAUUUUUAAUGUUUUUUUAGGGAUGGGGUCUUGCUGUGUUGCCCAGGCUGGAGUACAGUGGCUAUUCACAGGCACCAUCCCACUACUGAUCAGCACGGGAGUUUUGACCUGCUCUGUUUCCAACCUUGGCCAGUUUACCCCUUCUUAGGCAAUCUGGUGGUUCCCUGCUCCCGGGAGGUCAUCAUAUUGAUGCUGAACUUAGCGCAGACGCCCAGGCAACAUAGUGCACUGCAGCCCAGAACUCCUGGCCUCAAGCGAUCCUCCUGCCUCAGCCUCCUGAGUAGCUGGGACUACAGGCACGCGCCACCACACCUGGCCAGUUUACUAGUUUCUAACAAAGCUAAACAUUGUCUUAACGUAUAAUCUAACAGUCACACUCUUAGGUAUUUACUCAAACAAGUUGAAAACUUAUUUUAAUUGAUUAUACUGCAAAAGCCCUUUUCCAAAUAAGGUCACAUACACAGAUUCCAAGGGUGAAAGCUUCAGCAUAUCUUUCUGGAGGAUACAAGUC
rnacentral:lncRNA from 1 species